rnacentral:rRNA from 1 species
CCUACGGGAGGCAGCAGUGGGGAAUAUUGGGCAAUGGGCGCAAGCCUGACCCAGCAACGCCGCGUGAAGGAAGAAGGCUUUCGGGUUGUAAACUUCUAUUCUCAGGGACGAAGCAAGUGACGGUACCUGAGGAAUAAGCCACGGCUAACUACGUGCCAGCAGCCGCGGUAAUACGUAGGUGGCAAGCGUUAUCCGGAUUUACUGGGUGUAAAGGGCGCGUAGGCGGGAAAGCAAGUCAGAUGUGAAAACCAGGGGCCCAACCUCUGGACUGCAUUUGAAACUGUUUUUCUUGAGUACAGGAGAGGCAGAUGGAAUUCCUAGUGUAGCGGUGAAAUGCGUAGAUAUUAGGAGGAACACCAGUGGCGAAGGCGGUGUGCUGGACAGUAACUGACGCUGAGGCGCGAAAGCGUGGGGAGCAAACAGGAUUAGAUACCCGAGUAGUC